UUUGUCCACUCUUCCUAAAGACUUCUGGAUUCUAGACAUUCAAGGUAGAACUAGCUAGCUAGAAGUCUUUGAGGGGGAGUGAACAA
rnacentral:pre_miRNA from 1 species